GUGCCAGCAGCCGCGGUAAUACGUAGGGUGCAAGCGUUAAUCGGAAUUACUGGGCGUAAAGCGUGCGCAGGCGGUUUUGUAAGACAGUGGUGAAAUCCCCGGGCUCAACAUGGGAACUGCCAUUGUGACUGCAAGGCUAGAGUGCGGCAGAGGGGGAUGGAAUUCCGCGUGUAGCAGUGAAAUGCGUAGAUAUGCGGAGGAACACCGAUGGCGAAGGCAAUCCCCUGGGCCUGCACUGACGCUCAUGCACGAAAGAGUGGGGAGCAAACA
rnacentral:rRNA from 1 species